rnacentral:rRNA from 1 species
UGGGGAAUAUUGCACAAUGGGCGCAAGCCUGAUGCAGCCAUGCCGCGUGUGUGAAGAAGGCCUUCGGGUUGUAAAGCACUUUCAGCGAGGAGGAAGGUGGUGAACUUAAUACGUUCAUCAAUUGACGUUACUCGCAGAAGAAGCACCGGCUAACUCCGUGCCAGCAGCCGCGGUAAUACGGAGGGUGCAAGCGUUAAUCGGAAUUACUGGGCGUAAAGCGCACGCAGGCGGUUUGUUAAGUCAGAUGUGAAAUCCCCGGGCUCAACCUGGGAACUGCAUUUGAAACUGGUAAGCUAGAGUCUCGUAGAGGGGGGUAGAAUUCCAGGUGUAGCGGUGAAAUGCGUAGAGAUCUGGAGGAAUACCGGUGGCGAAGGCGGCCCCCCUGGACGAAGACUGACGCUCAGGUGCGAAAAGCGUGGGGCAGCAAACAGGAUUAGAUACCCUGGUAGUCCAGCGCUGUAAAACGAUGUCGAUUUUGGAGUUGUGCCCUUGAGGCGUGGCUUCCGGAGCUAACGCGUAAAUCGACCGCCUGGGGAGUACGGCC